ensembl:rRNA 5S_rRNA 5S ribosomal RNA
GCUUACGGCCACACCGCCUGGUAUACGCUUUGAUCUCGGAAGAUAAGGUAGGUUGGGCCUGGUUAGUACUUGGAUGGGAGACCGCCUGGGAAUACCAGGUGCUGUAAGCU